UUCCUAUAAGUAUAUUUAGUAUAGUUGAUUUCCAAUCAAUUGGUCUGUUUUUAAGAGGUAGAUAGGAAA
rnacentral:tRNA from 1 species